rnacentral:sRNA from 1 species
AUUGCACACACACGAAUGUUGCAGUAAACCCGGCUCGCGCCGGGCCGUUUGGCGAAGUACCACAUUGUCCCCCCCACCGCUUUUUGCGUCGUCCCGGUCGGUCGGUCGGUCGGGCUCCUUCCUCCUCCGAAGGGAGCGAGGGGGUCCGGCCACCCCGGCGGGGGCGGCCACGAUCUCAUUGAUCGCGCAAUGCAUCGACGCUCUGACCCACGACUGAGUCCCUAGAACGAUUCGGGGAGUUGGCUUGAUGACGACGGGCGGGGACUCCACCCGCCCCGAGUGAUGGAGACCGGCGCCCCCCGAGUAAGUUGGAUCUAUAACUUAGAAACAACUCUCAGCAACGGAUAUCUUGGCUCUUGCAACGAUGAAGAACGCAGCGAAAUGCGAUACGUAGUGUGAAUUGCAGAAUUCCGCGAAUCAUCGAGUCUUUGAACGCAAGUUGCGCCCGAGGCUUGUCCGAGGGCAUUUCCGCUAGAGCGUCACCGCGCUCCCCCACCGACCCCUCCCCCGACCCGAGCCCUCGCGGCGCGGAUCGGGAUCCGUCGAGUGGAAGUGGCCGUCCCGAUCCAUCGAUCGGGUCGGCUGAAAUGGAUGGAAUUUGGCCGUCGCGGCGACGGAGCCCCGCGAUCAGGUGAUCCGAGCGAAAGCCCGGAACUCAAACGUGCGGGGCCCCCCCCGUCCGCCCAGUCGGCCUUCUUGAAAAGAAAAAAGAGCAGGUCUGCGCGUUCCGGCCCUCGGGGGUCGAACGCGCAUCGGAGAGUCACGCAACGGA